GGAUAUAGCUCAGUGGUAGAGCACAUGCUUAGCAUGCACAAGGUCCUGGGUUCAAUCCCCAGUUCCUCCA
rnacentral:tRNA from 1 species